UACGUAGGGGGCUAGCGUUGUCCGGAUUUAUUGGGCGUAAAGAGCGUGUAGGCGGCCAGAUAGGUCUGCUGUGAAAACUCGAGGCUCAACCUCGAGAUGUCGGCGGAAACCAUUUGGCUAGAGUCCGGAAGAGGAAAGUGGAAUUCCUGGUGUAGCGGUGAAAUGCGCAGAUAUCAGGAGGAACACCGGUGGCGAAGGCGGCUAUCUGGACAGAGUCUGACGCUGAGGCGCGAAAGCUAGGGGAGCAAACAGG
rnacentral:rRNA from 1 species